GAAUUCAAAACUUAAUGUCCUUAUAUGGUAAUUAGACCAUUAAUAAAUGUAUGUAGAUAUUUUGGGUAUGACUCAUCCUUGGAAAAUUUAAAAAUGUGUAGGGACUAAAUUGGAAUUUAAUUAAAUUAAUUAAUUAAAAAAGAUGAUAAAAGAAUUAUCAUCUUAUUUUUCUCAUCUUCUUCCCCAAAUAAUACAUGGAAAUCCUCAGAUGGCCAAAUUAUGUAAGUAUUCAAGCCCCG
rnacentral:lncRNA from 1 species